UACAGAGGGUGCAAGCGUUGUUCGGAAUUAUUGGGCGUAAAGGGCGCGUAGGCGGUGCGGUAAGUCUGUAGUGAAAUCUCUGGGCUCAACUCAGAGUCUGCUGCAGAAACUGCCGUGCUUGAGUGUGGGAGAGGUGAGUGGAAUUCCCGGUGUAGCGGUGAAAUGCGUAGAUAUCAGGAGGAACACCUGUGGCGAAAGCGGCUCACUGGACCAUAACUGACGCUGGAUGCACGAAAAGCUAGGGGGAGCAAACAGG
rnacentral:rRNA from 1 species